GGCCGCCCGGAGGCCGCGCCGCUGCUGGCUGAGGCCCCGCCUGCCCCCGGACGUUCUCCCUCUUUCCUCCCCGGCUCUCACGCUCUCUCCUCCACAGCUCGCGCUCACUGCUGCGCUACUCACAUUCUGUCCUCCCGCUCCCCCCACCCGCUCUCCUCCCGGACCCUGCGCUGACUCCCCCUGGAUCUCCACAUGGAGCCUCCUGUCCGCAGGGACCGCCCCGCUCCGACGUCACAGGCGGCGGUUCCCGCUCUUCUCCCGGAGGAUGAGGAGACGUGUCUAGCAGGAAGUUGCUACAGCCGAUGUCAAAGAGGUUACUGCCUGUGUUGUCCUCUAGGAUUUUGAUGGUUUCCUGUGUCACACGACACAGGGAUCUGUCUGCUACCAGUUUGCUUGGCGACACGAAGGCCAGCUAUGUGACUCUCACCCGGGGAAAUCUUCCACCGACUCAGCACCCCACAGACGAUGCAAUCAGAGCUUCGGUGGGGCUGACGUGCGGCCGCGCUUCCGGAUAGGAGGGAAGAUCACGUCGUGUGCUUGACAAGUUGCUGUAGGAAUUUCCCCCAGAGGCAAGCCCAGCCAAGGUGCUGACAUCGGACUGCCAAGGAUGUGAGGCAACAAGAGAGGUGAUGGGGGUCCUGGGACAUGGGACACAAAACGUUUGGAUCCAUGCUGUCUGGGGUAACAGGUGCGCUUGGAACAAUCUCGAUGAAGGGGAAUCUUGCCUUCAAGCACAUUGUGAGCUGUUCUUAUCAAAAACCAGUCUAUGUUCUACGAGUUUUCGAUGGAAUUUGGAAGAAAAACAUGCCGCUUCCGAGCUGAUUUUGGAGGCAAGGCACUCUGGAUGCAUUCAAGAUGCAUUCUGGAUGCAUCUGAGCAGCGAGAGCAGGGAGCAGGGUGAGGGACAGAUCCAGAAGCAGUGCCGUGCCCAUCCCCACCUGACACCGCCCGCCACGGAGCACUCGUUUUAGAAUCCACUUCAGAGUAAUGCCACUGAAGGUCAAACGGCAGGAUGGGGGACUGAGUCAAAGUAGAGUGAUCAGGUGCAAGAUGAGACAUUUUCUAUUUCUUCUGGCUCCCAAAGCUGCCCAGCCUUGCCAAGCUGUGUCCCUGGGGCCCCGAGAAUUGUGGGCCCAGAGUGGGGAGCCCCCCAUUCUGGGAGUGGCACCUGCUGCAUGAAAGGCAAAGGCAAUGGGCACCGCUGGUCUGAACGGUGCUUCUCCUCUGGGCCAACGCUUUUCUGACCUCCCCUAGUCUAAGUAAAGGGAGGUGGGUCAACAGAAAGGGUUUCCAGCAGUGCAUGUGGGUCCUUGAGGAAUGUGGCACGGAGUUUUGCAUUUCUUUACCUCGAACUUCUUGGAGAAAGUUACCAGCAGUUCAGUGAGAGCCAUGUGACUGGCUCACACGGUGCCCAAGGAGCCACGGGCAGAAAGCAACCAAUGAAUCAGUGGCAGGGAUGGAGCCACGAUGGACGCAGACCAUACAUUAUGUCAACCGGUGCAAAUCAGCAGAGCUCCCCUGUUAAAGACGGAAGGGAGGGAGGAGGGAAGGGCCAUGGCCAGUAUUUAUAAAAUAAAAAAAUCUAGCAUCUUGCCACCUACAGGAGGCGUACUUGAAAUAAAAAUUCCUGUGCAUUAGAAAGUAAGCUGUGCCCUGCUGAUGCUGACGGAGAGAACGAGGAUGGACACUAGUGGGGAUCCAGGAUUUCAGGGACCACAGGAACCCUCCACGGCUUCACCCUGGCUGAACAGCCCCGGGCAUCAGCUUAAGUCUAACACGCAUGGACGUUCUGUGGGUUGGAACAAAAACGUUUCCAAUUGUGUGUGACCUACUUUACCUAAGUUUGCCGACGGCCAGGUACACACAUUCUGGUUUCCUCUCUCUCCAGCUCCCACUUUUGUCCCCUCCCUAGUUUAGCCCCAGUACAGAGGUUCCCUCUGAGGAUUUAUUUUUAAACUGAUAAUAUUAUGUCCCCAAAACAAAACUGCAAAAAACCCAAUUGUAUAGCAAGAAUAAACUGACAAAUUCCCUGACAAGAGCCGGCUUCCAAAAUACAAGUGAAGAUACAGCUCAAUAAGAUCAAUUUUCCACACAACUUAGAAAUGGGUUCUCCUUCUAAAAGUGGCAUUUCAACCACUGGAAAGCAUCAGCUGUCACUGUCUAGCUGGAGGGGUUUGGGAAUGUCCAGCUGUGAUCAAGCCGCCUAAAUCCCAUGGAGGAGGAGCAGAUGGCUUGGACUCAAAGGUGCUUGUCGCUCAGGGAAGCUGAGAUCACAAUGAGUUCGUUGUGUCUUGUCUGAAGAGUCAGUAUUUGUCAAAGAGAAGCAUGUACGAGUACUGUAGACCACUGGCCCGCAGAGUCAGGACUUGCCAGUGUCCCAACCAUGUGCGGGGUGAAGCUGUCUUGCCGGCCGGCGCUGGAGGCCCUCGUACGGGAGUGAUGGAUGCGUCAGCCACCGCAGGACAGCUCAGUUUCUGAUUCAGAGCCGUGUCCUAAGGCUGCCGCCUGGCAAGAUGCCAUCCAAGCAUCUUACGCACACCUGUUUUCCACCCAAAGCAGUCUCCUAAGAAUGACUGGCUUCUAGUAUUGAAGAGAGGAUGUGUUGAAGAGAAGAACUGAGCUUCUGUGCUUCACUCGUUGGAAAGUAAUAAACUGGCAUUUUGGUUUAUACAUCAGUCUCUUGAGAGUUUGGUUAACUUGAGUUAACUAUGGAUGCUACCCUGGACUGAAGACCCUACAGUUCCCAGGAGAACACGUCUGAGUAGCCAGCAGGCACCUUCUUCGGCAUCAGAGCGGGGUCAAGGCUUCAGCACUGAUGAAAAUGACAGAAAAUGCAGAAUCCGCCCUCCACCAAUACCCCCAGAACCCUCUUUGUAUUUCACUUUCCAUCAGAAACCAUUUUCUCCGAGGAGGAAGUUCCUAGAUGUUUUGUUUUCUGGGUCUCACUCCAGCACAAGCAUCUCCUUCAGAACUAGAUAUCCCAGAGGGAGGAUUCAGAAUGACACAGAAGCCCUCAUUCUCUUUGAAAAAAGCUGUCACAUACUUCACUGCAAAUGAUCAGAAUCAUAGUUUAAUCCAUUUCAAGUCACCGGUCACAAUAUUGAAAACUUCUGCCUGAGGGAGUACACACAAAGUGGAUUCGUUCUUCUAAGCUCAUCAAGAUAAACUUCUGUAUUAGUAAUAAUGCCAGAAAUAAGGAACUUAUUUUAAAUAAUGACCACAGUUUCUGGAACUCUCCCACCUUUUAUUUGUCUAAACUUUUCUUUCCCCAUUGAAUUGUUAACAUUGGUACAAAACAGUUCUUCCAGAUUUGUUUCUUUCAAAACGAAUUUAUUACACAUUUAGUUCUCCUAAAAUGUGCCAGACUGACAAACUAUAGAUCUCUCAACUCUAAAUCUGUAAACUGAGAGUCUUGUUAGAAAAAUGAGUUGCAUUAAGGGAGAAAAUAAGUUGCAUGAGGGAAAACGGGAUUUGUCCUGAGCGGAGAGCAGCCGUGGCGUUUGAGGUGUGACCAGAAAGAAAAGAAAAGAGUAUUUGCUUUCUAUUGUUUGAGAUGAGUUACGUCUUGUACCCUCAGGUUCAGGCUGAAAGCUGUGAGCAGAGUCAGGAGAAGGGGCUGACACUCCUCACCCUUCCUUGGGGCGCCUAUGAGGGUUUCUCAGCUAACCCCCCAGUUACCCCCAUUUCACAGACGUAGGAAUAGAGGUGCAGGAGGUUUCAGAAUUCACCUUUUAUCGGCUACACAUCAGUUACCUGGACACCUGACAGCAAGAGGAAGAAGAGGAAAUGGACACGCAGCCCACGGGGGUUCGGGAUUAAAUCAGGGGUUCUGCACAGAUGCUUCCUUCGGCCAGCAGCAUCUGCCUGCUGGGGGGGGAGGUGGGCUCAAGGGGGGUGUCUAGCUGGACUGGUGCAGAGAAAGAGUGAGCUCGCUGCACUGUGAGGGACACAGAAGAGGAAAGGGUGUCCGAUCGUUCUGUGCGUUCACGUGAGGUGCCGGAUCUAGGGCUGCUGGUGGAAGCAAAACAGGGAAGCAGGCGGCAGACGGAUAGAAUUGGAACAGGCGGAAAUAGAUUUUUAAACCCAAUUUCCAUUUUUCCAUUUGGCUUUGUUAAGAGGAAGUUUUCUGAGUUGAGGCCCCCCUCCCACUGAGCGGGGAGCCUGACAUGAGGCUUGAUGCCACGACCCCAAGAUCAUGACCUGAGCCGAAAUCAAGAGUCCGAGGCCCAGCCAGCCGACUAAGCCACCCAGGCACCCGGAAUCCCUUUUAAAAAGUCAUUUAGUUACUGUGAGCACUUGGUAACUGUUAACAGCACCAAAACUAUUCGUGAUAAUUAUUGGUCAUAAUCAUUGACAAUUUAUAGCAAGAGGCAGCAAAUUAUGGCCCACAACCCACUUUUAGGCAGCCUGCGAGCUAAGAAUAUUUUUUACAUUUUUAAAUGUAAAAUGGGGGGAGAAAAGGAGACCAUUAUUUAGUGACAUGUGAAAGUUAACUGAAAUUCAAAUUGUGUCUGCAGCACAUGUCCAAAAUAAAGUUUUAUUGGAACACAGCCAUGCUCCCCCAUUUACAGAUGGCCUGUGGCUGCUUUCCUGUUCCCAUGGCAGACUGAGGAGCUGCGACAGAAGUUUGCAAACCGCACACGUUUACCAUCUGGCCCUCCACGGAAGGUGUGCCAGGCUGUGACAGAACAAAGUAUUCGUUUCUUCCUUAGGUCACUCCAUGCCUGUUAUCAAAAUGUCGCGGAUGGCCAGCUAUGAAGACAUGCAUAAGUUUAUCAAAGAUAUUUGGAAAAGAGAGAGAAAUCAGAACCACACGAAAUGGGUAGUUGUGAAAUAAAAGUUAGGGGCACCUUCCCAAGAUGGAUUUGAAUUUCACAUUCUGCAAAGACUCACGGUUCUUAGAUGUGCUCUGGGAUUUAGAGGGUGAGUUCAUAUCCACAGUGUGCGUGAAAGAGCAACACUGCACAGGAGAGUCAAAACCCCAAUUAAAGUGGAAAGGUUUGGAAAAUGCUACAUGGACGCAACACCUGGACCCUCAUGUUCAUUGCGGCAUUAUUUACAGUAGUGAGGAUAUGGGAGCAACAUUCAUGCCCAUCGUUAAAGGAAUGGAUAAAGAAGGCGUGGUAUAUACAUACGUGGAAUAUUAUUCAGCCAUAAAAAGGAAAUCCUGCCAUUUGCAACAACAUGAAUGGACCUGGAGAGCACAAUGCCAAGUGAAACAAGUCAGUCUGAAAGAGACAAAUACUGUAUGAUCUCAUUUGUAUGUGGAACUUGAAAAAAAAAGAAAAGAAAGAAAGAAAAAACCCAAUGUCAUAGAAAAGGAGAUCAGAUUCGUGGUUCCCAGAGGCAGGGAUGAAGGGGAAAGGGAUUGGAGGAAAGUGGUCAAAAGGUACAAGCUUCCAGUGAGGAGACAGGAACUAGGGUGUGAGGUACGCGUGGACCGUAGUCACCACGGCCGCGUGAUGCACAGGGUUACGGGAAGCAGCUCUGAAGGGAUGAGCUCUCCUGGGGAUCUAUUUCAGAUGAUGGAUGCUCACUACAUUGACAGUGGUGACCAUUUCACAAUAUCUGUAAGUCAAGUCAUUGUACUGUAUGUCCUUAAUAAAACUGGAACAAAGUUUUUAGAAUGGACAGGUUUCUGCUCACAUCACAAUAACGCUGCUGGGAUUGUCCACUCGGCUGAUUGCUAAGCAAUGUUUUCUUGGGAGUGGGGUGAGGUCCAGAAUGACAACAGCUAGUGGCCGAUGAUGGACAUUAUAACAGGCAUCCUCAAGAUACAAGAAGCUAAGAUCAUGGCAGAAACGUGUGCCACGUGCAGGAUGCAGCCCUCCAUGGAUGCCUGGUGUGCGCCGUCCCAGAGGGCUGAGUUGGAAUUACUGACUCACGUUUCUAUUACGCUGCUGCUCAUUUGUUUCUUGGAUUUUUUUUUUUUUAGGGGUUGGUUUUUUUGCUUUUUAGAAUGCUUGCUACAUCUAAGAAACCAAAGAAUCAAUGUGACAUAGUAAAACUUUGACUCCUUUGAGUUUAAGAGAACAUUGGCAUCACUGGGCUGGGAUUGUUUCUCUUUGGCACACGCUGCACCAAGGUGCAGAGAAACCCCCAGGUUCUCACCCACCGCCACCUUUCAGGUUCAAAAAAUAUAGUUUUAAAAUAUAGACCUGAUUUCCAUCCUUGACCAUGAGUCAGGUUGCUUAUAUUCAUAAGGCACAAAGAACCCAAGCAGCAAAAUGAUCAUUAACGUGGAAAUAUAUCAUUAGCCACAAGGGCCUGGAUCAGAGUUAUAAACCCUCAAGGGCCUGUGAAACCAUCCAGAGAUUUGAAAAAAGGAAGAAAAAAAUGUGCAUUUCAAAACUAAUCUCUAUUUAAUUAACUGUUUACAAAAUAUAGCAUUGGGUCAGCAAUUUAACUGAGUUUUCUCUGAUAGAGUUGUUGGCUGGGCGUGUCAUGGGGGCCACACCCUACUCUCGGUCCCUGCCUUUCCCGCAUUUUCACUUUAGGGAAAGAGAAAAAAAUGACAAACAUGAAGUCGGGUAAGACCAGAGCUAUGAACAGAAAUCCCACAGGGUAGGAGAACCCAGGGGUCAGGUGGAGGUGACCUCUGGCAGAGAACUGUGUGAGGAGGGGCCACCCCACAUCCAGGGAAGGGGAACAAAUCACAUUCGCAGUUCUAGAUUUUCUAGUUACCACAUUGUGAAACUAAAAAGAAGCAGGCGGGCUUAAUUUUAAUACCAUAUUCUGUUUAACUCAUUAUACCAAAAUAUUAUUAUUUGGACAUGUAAUUGACAUCGACAAUUUUAAUGAGAUUUUUGCUGUGUGGACAUGAUUAAAGCUGAUUGAAAUAGACAAUAGUGUAGCAUUAAUCUAGGUGAAGCGGGUUUUAUUGGCACUUUUGGCCAGGCAGGACUUCAGGAAGCCAUUCAUCUUUCUUUUGAGAAUCUUUUCCUAAUGUACAGGCCAGAAGGAUUCCUGAUUGGGAUAUUUGGGAAUAUCUCACAUGAAUUAUUUUAGAACUGCUUUCUUAGGUAACUUGCAAUUUCUAGUAUGAUCAAAGCCUGUUAUAUCUCUCCCCGCAAAGAAUUUGUACUCAUAAAAUGUGUGUAAACUGGUAAGGAAGUGGGAAGCAGAAAAUGAGAUUCUGUAAAACAAUUAGGCCAUGCACCUCUAAGAACACACGUACAUCCAGUUCACUAGAACAUGUUCGGAGGCAGUGCUGACAGACUUGCUCCUGGCUGCCACUAACUGCAGACCCAGAGGACCCUGGUGAGCACUAAAUGUCACGAAGUCGCACCCUUGCUGGAGGCCAGGUCGCGCAUCUCCCUGGGAAUCCGCCCUGUGACAGAGGAACAAUAGAAGGAGCUGUUUCCCAAAUUUAGGAGAGGAUUAAGAAUGACCUGGAUGCUUGCUGACAAUACAGAUUUGGAGCCCAAAGCAGGGAAAUCUUGCAUGAGCAACCACUGUGGAUCGAAGUGAAAUUUCCAGUACCAAGGAGGAAGAGAGGGAACCUGGGGUUCCUGCCCUCCCCGCCACAUCCCUCUGCACCUCCAGCUCCCAGGUGCCUCCCUGUCCAUUUAUAGCAAGGGGAACACGGGGACAUGCCGGUCAGGGCAGAUACUUCUGUUUCUUGGCUACAAGGGAUCCUGACCCUAGGUUUCAGAGUCCACCUGCUGCUGGCAAACAAAAACUACUUUUCUCUUGGGGUGUGUGUCAGCGAUUAUGAAAGUGAGUGCCCUGGGACAUUGUGAAAUCCUUACACGGGAGAAGCCGCCCUGGCUUUUGGUCUCUGUGAGAUAAUCAUCCCCAUAGCAGGCUCUCUGCCAGCCAGGACCUGCUGCACUUCUCUGCCUUGUGUUUUAAAAUAUGGUGUAAUUAGAAUAUGAGCAGACAUGUCCUGAGGAUGAAAACAAGAUGGCAGAUAAGCCCCUGAGAAGAUGCCUAAUGCCAUUAACUGUGAGGAAAGUGCAAAUUAAAACCAUGCGGGAUAUCACUACAGACCUAACGGUAUGGCUGAAAUAAAAAAUAUCAACAACACCAAAUGCUGGUGAAGAUUCAGAGGCACUGAAUCACUCCUGCACCCUGGAGGGAGUGUGCAUUUGCUCAGUCACUCUGGAAAACAGUGCGGAAGUUUUUACAGAGCUAAACACACAGUCACUGUAUGACCAAGCAAGGACACCUUGAACAUUUAUUCCGCGGAAACGGAGGCUUAUGUUCACGCAAAAACCUAUAUGCAAAUGUUCAGAGAAGCUUUAUUCAUAAAUCUAUAAACACCCCAGAUGCCCUUCUGUGGGUGAAUGGUCACAGACUCUGGUAUCUCCGUACCAUGGAAUUCUACUCAGCAAGCAAAACUGACCAUUUAUUUAUGCAACAGAUUACAAAGGAGUUCUACUGAGGGAAAAAAUCCAAUUCCAAAAGGUUACUAUUAAAAACCAAUUCACCUGAGUAAAUUUUAAAGAUUUUAUCGGCUUUAUUCAAUGAUUCGUGAAUUGGGCAGCAUCACAUCUAGCAGAUAGGACAGAGACUCAUUUCACACAUGGUACAAAACAGAAGACUUGUACAGGCAGAAGUGGGCAGGACAAAAAAGUUACUAGCAACGAGUGGAUUGUUUUAGGCAAGGCCACCUUCCUUUGGGGGAAGGCCAAGGGUCCAUCGGGCAGAUGACCUCACUAGUGCUGACCAGGUAAUCCCAGACUGACUGGUUAAGAUUACACUCCUGGGAAAGGCUGAAACCAUAAUUAGGUUAGAUGUGAAGUCUUGGUUUGGUGACAUGAACUUAUCCCAAGUGACUCCAUUUUGGGCCUGUUUUCUCUGUCUCUUUUUUUAAAGUAAUCUUAUGGGACUCGAACUCACAACCCUGACAUCGAGUUACUUGCUCUACUGACUGAGCCAGCCAGGCACCCCUGUUUUCUCUUUUUAACCAUACCAUAUGAUUCCAUUUUUAUAUCAUUCUUGAAAUGUCAGAAUUAUGGAGAUGGGGAAUAGACUAGUGAAGAGGAAUGAUUGCCCAGGUUAGCGAUGGCGUGGGGAGGACAGGGGUCACCCGAGGGGGUCUUGUGGUGAUGAAAAUGCUGUGUCUUGACUGUGUUAGUGUCAAUGUGCUGGUUGUGACAUUGUCUGGUAGUUUUGGAAGACAUUACCCUCUGGGGAAAUUGGGUGAUGGGUGCUUAAGUUGGGUCUGUAUUAUUUCCUACAACUACAUGUCAAUGUACAGUUUUCUUUAGAUGAAAGUUUAGUUUAAUAAGAUAUGGUGUAACUGUAGAUGUCUUAUGCACCCCAGCCUGCCCACACACACAAGUAUACUGUCCCCUUACCCUCAUAGGCAUUCGAAUUUCUGAACUCUUCUAAACGGCAAUUAAGUGGCCCAAAUGAUUAAUUCACCAUUUGAAAGUUGUUAUUAGCUGCUGUUUGUCAAAAGAGUCUAUCAUUUUUAUCCAUUUCAUGUCACUGAAUCAUUACCCCUUAUCCAUAUCACUGAGGGCACACAGCCAAAAGUUUUGUAUAAUCUUUUUUAGUUCUA